AUUGAACGCUGGCGGCAGGCUUAACACAUGCAAGUCGAGCGGGCGAGGUUGCUUCGGUAACUGAGCUAGCGGCGGACGGGUGAGUAAUGCUUAGGAAUCUGCCUAUUAGUGGGGGACAACAUUCCGAAAGGAAUGCUAAUACCGCAUACGCCCUACGGGGGAAAGCAGGGGAUCUUCGGACCUUGCGCUACUAGAUGAGCCUAAGUCAGAUUAGCUAGUUGGUGGGGUAAAGGCCUACCAAGGCGACGAUCUGUAGCGGGUCUGAGAGGAUGAUCCGCCACACUGGGACUGAGACACGGCCCAGACUCCUACGGGAGGCAGCAGUGGGGAAUAUUGGACAAUGGGCGCAAGCCUGAUCCAGCCAUGCCGCGUGUGUGAAGAAGGCCUUUUGGUUGUAAAGCACUUUAAGCGAGGAGGAGGCUACUUGGAUUAAUACUCUAGGAUAGUGGACGUUACUCGCAGAGUAAGCACCGGCUAACUCUGUGCCAGCCGCCGCGGAAAAAC
rnacentral:rRNA from 1 species